UUGAUAGAGGUGCGGCGUUUAUCAGUAGUAUGUUGCUUAAAAGGCAUCGGCAAUAUGCGAAAGGAACCGCCGCCGAAGGAAAGUCAGGUUUUGCCUUAAAACCUCUUUUCUGGGCCGUAAGGGAAACACUCUGCGGACUGUCGCGUUCAUUCGCGGAGGGCUAUCGCG
rnacentral:ncRNA from 1 species